rnacentral:rRNA from 1 species
UGAGGAAUAUUGGACAAUGGGCGCAAGCCUGAUCCAGCCAUGCCGCGUGCAGGAAGACGGCCCUAUGGGUUGUAAACUGCUUUUAUACGGGAAGAAACAACGCCACGUGUGGCGUCUUGACGGUACCGUAAGAAUAAGGAUCGGCUAACUCCGUGCCAGCAGCCGCGGUAAUACGGAGGAUCCAAGCGUUAUCCGGAAUCAUUGGGUUUAAAGGGUCCGUAGGUGGACGAUUAAGUCGGAGGUGAAAUCCUGCAGCUCAACUGUAGAAUGGCCUUUGAUACUGGUUGUCUUGAAUCAUUGUGAAGUGGUUAGAAUAUGUGGUGUAGCGGUGAAAUGCAUAGAUAUCACAUAGAAUACCGAUUGCGAAGGCAGAUCACUAACAAUGCAUUGACACUGAUGGACGAAAGCGUGGGGAGCGAACA